ACUAGGCAAAGCCAGCUGGGCUCCUGAGUCCGGUGGGUACUUGGAGAACUUACUACGUCUAGCUGGAGGAUUGUAAAUGCACCAAUCAGCAUGCUGUGUCUAGCUCAAGAGAGCAGUCAUGAUGGCCUGCACUCCACACAAUGCAACAGAGUGAAAGAGCAGGUUCUGCUUCUUUGGUGUAGUCCUGAAGCUUCCUAAGAAACUUCACAUCAGGUGAUGGAUAGGAGCAACCCUGUAAAACCAGCCUUAGACUAUUUUUCAAACAGGCUGGUGAAUUACCAUAUCUCCGUCAAGUGCAGUAACCAGUUCAAGUUGGAAGUGUGUCUUUUGAAAUCAGACAACAAAGUCGUGGACAACCAGGCUGGGACCCAGGGCCAGCUGAAGGUGCUGGGUGCCAACCUCUGGUGGCCGUACCUGAUGCACGAACACCCCGCCUACCUGUACUCGUGGGAGGAUGGUGAUUGCUCACACCAAAGCCUUGGACCCCUCCCAGCCUGUGACCUUUGUGACCAACUCCACCUACGCAGCAGACAAGGGGGAUCCACCUCUGAUGUUCAGUGAAGAGUACCAGAAAAGUCUGCUAGAGCAGUACCAUCUGGGUCUCAAUCAAAAACGCAGAAAAUACGUGGUUGGAGAGCUCAUCUGGAAUUUUGCCGAUUUCAUGACUAACCAGUCCAAGGAUGAAGGAAACACUGGACCUCAUUAUGGAUUUACUUUUGGGAUACACUCAUCAUUCCAGAGGAGGGUAAAAGGCUGAGAAGCUUAAGUUCUGCAGGCUGGAAAUCCAAGAUGAAGUCACCUGUAGUUCAGUGUCUGCGUCUAAGAGAGUACUUUGUUGCUGCACCCGCCAGAGGGAAGAAAUACUGUAUCUUCUCAUGAAGGAAGGAACCGAAGUCUCCACAAACCGGAGGACUACCCCCAGACUGCAGUAAGUGUUGUCAUGGAGACUACAGCUUUCGAGGCUACCAAGGCCCCCCUGGGCCACCGGGCCCUCCUGGCAUUCCAGGAAACCAUGGAAACAAUGGCAACAAUGGAGCCACUGGUCAUGAAGGAGCCAAAGGUGAGAAGGGCGACAAAGGUGACCUGGGGCCUCGAGGGGAGCGGGGGCAGCAUGGCCCCAAAGGAGAGAAGGGCUACCCGGGGAUUCCACCAGAACUUCAGAUUGCAUUCAUGGCUUCUCUGGCAACCCACUUCAGCAAUCAGAACAGUGGGAUUAUCUUCAGCAGUGUUGAGACCAACAUUGGAAACUUCUUUGAUGUCAUGACUGGUAGAUUUGGGGCCCCAGUAUCAGGUGUGUAUUUCUUCACCUUCAGCAUGAUGAAGCAUGAGGAUGUUGAGGAAGUGUAUGUGUACCUUAUGCACAAUGGCAACACAGUCUUCAGCAUGUACAGCUAUGAAAUGAAGGGCAAAUCAGAUACAUCCAGCAAUCAUGCUGUGCUGAAGCUAGCCAAAGGGGAUGAGGUUUGGCUGCGAAUGGGCAAUGGCGCUCUCCAUGGGGACCACCAACGCUUCUCCACCUUUGCAGGAUUCCUGCUCUUUGAAACUAAGUAAAUAUAUGACUAGAAUAGCUCCACUUUGGGGAAGACUUGUAGCUGAGCUGAUUUGUUACGAUCUGAGGAACAUUAAAGUUGAGGGUUUUACAUUGCUGUAUUCAAAAAAUUAUUGGUUGCAAUGUUGUUCACGCUACAGGUACACCAAUAAUGUUGGACAAUUCAGGGGCUCAGAAGAAUCAACCACAAAAUAGUCUUCUCAGAUGACCUUGACUAAUAUACUCAGCAUCUUUAUCACUCUUUCCUUGGCACCUAAAAGAUAAUUCUCCUCUGACGCAGGUUGGAAAUAUUUUUUUCUAUCACAGAAGUCAUUUGCAAAGAAUUUUGACUACUCUGCUUUUAAUUUAAUACCAGUUUUCAGGAACCCCUGAAGUUUUAAGUUCAUUAUUCUUUAUAACAUUUGAGAGAAUCGGAUGUAGUGAUAUGACAGGGCUGGGGCAAGAACAGGGGCACUAGCUGCCUUAUUAGCUAAUUUAGUGCCCUCCGUGUUCAGCUUAGCCUUUGACCCUUUCCUUUUGAUCCACAAAAUACAUUAAAACUCUGAAUUCACAUACAAUGCUAUUUUAAAGUCAAUAGAUUUUAGCUAUAAAGUGCUUGACCAGUAAUGUGGUUGUAAUUUUGUGUAUGUUCCCCCACAUCGCCCCCAACUUCGGAUGUGGGGUCAGGAGGUUGAGGUUCACUAUUAACAAAUGUCAUAAAUAUCUCAUAGAGGUACAGUGCCAAUAGAUAUUCAAAUGUUGCAUGUUGACCAGAGGGAUUUUAUAUCUGAAGAACAUACACUAUUAAUAAAUACCUUAGAGAAAGAUUUUGACCUGGCUUUAGAUAAAACUGUGGCAAGAAAAAUGUAAUGAGCAAUAUAUGGAAAUAAACACACCUUUGUUAAAGAUACUUUCUAAACUUGUGUUUAAUAAACUUUAAUAGUCAUAGAAUUGUAAAUCACUAUGGUUAACAGAAAGUGAAAAUAUUUUCAUGCAGAUGAUGUGAACAGCCAUGUGAAUAGGUGACUUGGGCACACAGCAGGGUCAUAUGACUUCAGAAAACUUCGCUUUUCAGUUAUUCCAUUGUUAUAAUGUCAACCCUUUAAGACAUUGAUGUUUAGAGGGCUCACAAAUAAAAUCUGAAUACCUGUAAGGAAAGAGGUUUUUUAUCACAUACCUUAAGUCUUUGUAAUGUUCAUGCUUAAAUUCUAAGUUUUCACCUUAGUGACACACAAGGUUUGGUUGUAGGCAACAAGUCCCAGGUGUGUGGGAAAUUGAUUCACAACAGAGAUGGGAAAAGGUGCAGAUAAUUUCCAAUGCCUUCACAAUUUACCCAUGACCAGAAAUAUACUUGGAAGACUGAUUUCACAAGUGUCCCAAAACUGAGAUGCUAAAAAGGAAACAGUAGGUAGGUGUCAUAGGAAAUUUACAUGUACCAUCUAAUAAACAAACUUGCAAAUUCUAAAUCUUUUUUUUUUUUGAGACAGUUUCACGCUGCUGCCCAGGCUGGAGUGCAGUGGCAUGAUCUCAGCUCACCGCAGCCUCCGCCUCCUGGGUUCAAGUGACUCUCCUACCUCAGCCUCCUGAGUAGCUGGGACUACAGGCGCCCACCACCAGGACCAGCUAAUUUUUAAUGUUUCUAAUAGAGAUGGGGUUUCACCAUGUUGACCAGGCCGGUCUGGAACUCCUGACCUCAGGUGAUCUGCCUGCCUCGGUCUUCCAAAGUGCUGGGAUUACAGGCGUGAGCCCCCGCACCCAGCCGCAAAUUCUAAAUCUUAAAACAACUCUGCAAACGAAGCACUUGAGUUUCUGCUUGCUUCAGGGAUGUAAUAUGGUGUAGAACUGUUUCACAUAAUGAUCAGCCUUGGUAAUUUUCCAGUGUAGAAAACAUUAUAUUUGACCCUUGGACAACAAAGAGAUUAUAUUGAAGGAAUUUUAUUGAUUGUAUCAUGAAUAAAAGCUGAAGUCAAAAUUAAAAUGUAAAAAAAUAAUUCAGAGGAUGGAAUAUGCAAAUGUAAACUCCAAAUGAUGUGGCUGGAAUUCAUAAACAUUUACUUUAUGCAAGAUACUGUGCUAUUCCAGGCACUCCUAUGGCAUUUAAAGUACAAUUCUUACCUUCCCUAAUUUUUCAACCUAGUAGAGGACAAUAGGCUAAAGGGAAUAAGUACAUGGAUAACAAAACAUAAAGUAGAAUGUUUUUACAGCCAUAGAAGGCAAAGGGCUAGGAAUUCACAGGAGAGAGAAACAGUAUCUAGCUGAGAGCAUAAGAAAAGCUUGUGGAAAAGAUAAUAUCUGAUGGCCAGAGACAAUUUCUUGCUUUGGUAUGUUUGAAGUGUUAUAUUUAAAUAUAUAUAUUUUUAUUUAAAAAACUCACUAUAGAAAAUUUAUAAAAUUCCCCAAAAUAUUUAGUAUAAAAUUAAUCAUCCCAUCAAAUAUUAAAUAAUAUUACUAUUUUAAAGUGUUUAUUUCAGUCUUUUCCUGCAUGUAUUUAUGGCUUUUAUUUUUAAAUAUAGUAAUAAAAUAAUUUGAAAUUAGCUUUUUAUAUAUUUUUGUAUCUUGCUCUAAUGGGUUGGACUAAACAUAUUAAGAACACUCUCAAAUGCUACUAAGGACAAUUUGAAAACAUAAUUUUAAUGACUGCAUAAUUUAUUUAACUUUCCUGUUUUGGAAAAUAUUAUUUUUUUUUUAUUACAAAUAAUAUGUCAUGAGCAUUCUCUUUUUAAAAAAAUAAACUAUGUGUGCAUAUAA